rnacentral:rRNA from 1 species
UACGUAGGGUGCAAGCGUUAAUCGGAAUUACUGGGCGUAAAGCGUGCGCAGGCGGCUUUGCAAGACAGAUGUGAAAUCCCCGGGCUUAACCUGGGAACUGCAUUUGUGACUGCAUGGCUGGAGUGCGGCAGAGGGGGAUGGAAUUCCGCGUGUAGCAGUGAAAUGCGUAGAUAUGCGGAGGAACACCGAUGGCGAAGGCAGUCCCCUGGGGCUGCACUGACGCUCAUGCACGAAAGCGUGGGGAGCAAACAGG